UGAGUCAAGUUUUCAUAAUCUCAGCCCAAGAAGAUCUGCAUUCUUUCAAGUCACUGAAAUCCAAUAAUAGAAAGCUUUGCCAAUGCUGAAAUAGCUGUUUUACCUGCCUACCAACUGUUACUUGAGCCCCAAUGCCAUGGACUGUCAGGACUAAGCUCAAGAAUCAAAUGGGUUGACCCUGUGGGUUCGCCAUGCAUUAUUACACCUCGAAAUUCCAGCCGUGUUCACUGAUUGCAUCACCAAACACUAUUCAUUGCUGAGCUGAGGAACGUCUUCUCAGAUGAUUUGCAAUCACACAGCCACACAGCUGAGAGUUUUUACUCUCCUAGCAGAGCCUGCUUUCAAACAGAAAACCCCAGCCCUGUUAAUAUAAUCCUAAUAGUUGAGGUCUGCUCCAUUUCCUUGAACUUUGAGCAUGAGGGACCUGCAUAUUCAGCUGUUGACUUGAGAUGAUAUGAAAAUGAGAUGAUAGCGAAAAGCUUGGAAAUGUCACUUAUUUGUGCAGUCUUGCCACAUGGGUUCCCAGGGUAGUCUGUUCUCCCUUACAGAGCAAUUAGACUCCAAAUAAUUUUAAAUUACAGUUCAAAGCACUGCAGUGAGUUAGUGCUUUGAGGGAAGAGUGUGAAACAUUGACUCAGCUUAUAGUUUCAUGCAACGUACAGGUAUCUCUCAGAAGCAUCCCAAAUUAGUACUGGCUCUUUGCAAGGCAGUCUCCUCAAAGUAAACACAUUUUAGAAGGGUGAGUUGAAAAAGACAAUGGCAAGACAUAAAGGAACAAGAUUAUCUCCGGGAAAUGAUCUUCCAGUGGAAGAAUGCUGGUUUGCAAGAAAUGAGUGUCUCAGAAGGAAUCUUCCUAAACAGAGCAGGAACAUACACCAGAGACUCUAACUGAAGACAAACAGGCAAACAGCAGCUGUCUGCCCACUAAUGGAGGUGAAUCGGUUGUUUUCUUCCUCAGAACUCCUCUGUGUGGUUAAUACGAAACAUAAACUCAUUUCAUCACUGAUUUAUGCUCUUCUUUUGCAGUUGAUUGGAUAAGCUCCACCUUCAGCUGGUGUAAUUGUGUCUCAUCUCACUGAUUUCAGCAGAGUUGAGGACCUGAGCUUUGAAAACUGAAGUUUCUUUUCUAUUAUUACUCUGCUUGAUUUCAUUAUUUCACUCUCACAUUGCAAUGUUAAGGUUACAUGAGUAAUUUUGGAGUUCCUUACAAGAAAAUAUUUUAUGUUUCCAACUAUUCAGUGACUCCCUUUCCUCACAUGCAUCUCUUUUGUUAGGCCACUUGGUAGUUCCUCUCUCCCAAAUGAACUCUAUAACCCUAUCUCUUCCUUGCCUUCUCCUGAGCUGCUCUCAGCAUUCCCCUCCAUCCUUGACAAUAGUAUUUUCCUACAGUACAGUCACCGGCCCUUUGUACAGUCUUUUGCAAAUGGUGAACACAGAAAACACAUUUUCUGCCUUUUUGCCCUCGUAUCCUUUGGCUACUACAAACUGGCAUUUUGUUUGCAUUUUUCACCUUUCUAUUUUCUUGUUGUCUUCUUUUUAGCACAGUUGUGCAGCUGGCUUCAAUUUUUUUUUUCCAUAAUAACUCCCAGGUCUUUUUCCAGAGAAUGGUGCUGGAUGGCUAUUUAAUUCAGCACAUACAAUACUUGCAUCAUUUUGUUGACUGCAGACAAAUUACUUAAGGUGUGCUAAUACUGAACUACAUUUAUCACCUGCAGGCUCAGAUCAUCUCAAAUGAUCCAAAGACAAAUUCAAUUGCACUGUUCCUUCUAUUCUGCUCUACUUCUAGUAUUAUAUUCCACUCCAAAUAUUUAUUUUCAGGAGACCUCUGCCAGAUUAUUUGUACUUGUUAGUUCUCUUAACAUUUCUUAAUUUCCAGCAACUUUUGACCACAGGGACAAACUGAAGUCCUCUGUGCAUGAGUUCCAAAGGCUAUACAACCAUCGCAAGGUAAAAAUAUGAAUAUGGUUCUUAUUUUCAUAUUUCACAGAUUCACCUCUGAAAAAUUAAAAUUUGAGAAGGUAAAAUUUUCAAAAGGGCUUAAAUCCAGAUAAGGUGAGUGAGAGCAACUAUGAAGAACUGCUGAGAGCACGAGGUUUAGUUGCUUGAAUGGGAAUCCACUUUGUCAUUGUUAGGGCUAAAUGAUCCUGGAAGUGUUGGUAUGUAAAGACCAUUGGUGUAUACUUUACUUCUAAUGUGCAAAUGUAUUUUGGAAUAAUAUCAGUCCCUUUAAGUACUUUGAAAACUGUAACAUCACUUAAAAGUUUUUGCAUGCCAGUGGAAUGUAUUUGACAGUGCCUACCACUUCUUGUAACAUUUUUCAGUGAAAUCAGAUCUUAUCUGACUGCCUCUGUAAUGAGAAUGACCAUGGGUCAAAAGAGCAAUCCUUUCAGGUAAAAGAGUAGUAAUUCCUCAUCUCUUGGGUAACUUGAAGAGAGGCAGAUGAUUUCAGGACUACAUUUACACUUGUUUUGAGUAGGAUUUGGACCCUGUUCAAAAGAUAAAAGCC